UUGUAGAUGUUAAAAGCAAGAGACAUGGGAGAGCAUCAUUCCUUUGAGAUUUUAUAACUCAAACCAACUUUGGAGUUGUCUGAUUUGGAGAGUCAUUAUUCUUGGUCUUCGCUCUUAGAGGCCACUGAUGAAGAACAGGCAGUGACUGGGAUGAAUCCUGGUCAGAGAGGAGAAUCUUCUUUCCCCUAAACAGCAGUGGUUUUAAAGGAGGACGCUGCCCUGGAUGAUGUAGAUGUCACAUGCUGUGCAGAUGGGGUUUCUUCAUGAUUACAUCAGUUAUGCUAAAGAGAUCAUGAAAAUUGACUGUGAUGCAUGAUCUGUAUUCAUGGACUAUGAAACAAACUGUAAGUGUAUAAUUUGUUUAAAAAAAAAAGUUAAAUGCUUUUUCUGUGUUGUUUAGUAGAAGAGUUUACACUCUGUCAUUCAUACACCUGCUCACAUUCUUUCACACACACACACAUGCGUCUGUUAAAUGUUAUAAUAUCAAAGUUAAUGUUGUGAUUUGUGUACUGUCAUGCCAGAAUAGUUGGAAAAAAACCUAACUAAUUGUAAAUUUAUUGUAUGUGUUUUCGUAUAUUUUUAUACAAUAUAUACAAUUGAACAAAGUCCAAUUUGAUUUUAAGUUAUAUUCAUCAAAUGUUCAAUGCUUUCUUCUAACAUGUUACUUUUUGACUUUUCUCUUGUUUUUUAAUAAAUAUUUUCCUUUUGGUAAUUAUUAUUUGUGUGUAAAAGUGAUAUUUAAAAUGAACAACAUUUGUAGGUUUAAUGCCUAGCUCAAUUUGGGUUAAUUUUAACGUAGAAAUGCAUUGUUUCCCCACAUGGCUGCACUCUGCGAGUUUAUUUUCUGCCAGCAGGAGGCGCUAAGAGCGGGAGAGGUAGGUUUCUCCGGUAACGGCUGCAGAGCGGUGCUGAGCUCACAAACGCUGCCUUAUCAAGCACAUUCGAAAUGAUAUCGAACAUUUUCUAAAUACAGUAGUUUUCCUUCUGAAAUACACUGAUAAAAAACACCCGCUCUGUUUUUUUAAACCCUGCAAUAUAGUCAUUUUAAACUAUAAAAAAGGCAACCCAGCAGGCUGG